UGAGGAAUAUUGGUCAAUGGGCGCGAGCCUGAACCAGCCAAGUAGCGUGAAGGAUGACUGCCCUACGGGUUGUAAACUUCUUUUAUAAAGGAAUAAAGUGAGGCACGUGUGCCUUUUUGUAUGUACUUUAUGAAUAAGGAUCGGCUAACUCCGUGCCAGCAGCCGCGGUAAUACGGAGGAUCCGAGCGUUAUCCGGAUUUAUUGGGUUUAAAGGGAGCGUAGAUGGGUUGUUAAGUCAGCGGUGAAAGUCUGUGGCUCAACCAUAGAAUUGCCGUUGAAACUGGGAGGCUUGAGUAUGUUUGAGGCAGGCGGAAUGCGUGGUGUAGCGGUGAAAUGCUUAGAUAUCACGCAGAACCCCGAUUGCAAAGGCAGCCUGCUAAGCUGCAACUGACAUUGAGGCUCGAAAGUGUGGGUAUCAAACAGG
rnacentral:rRNA from 1 species